rnacentral:ncRNA from 1 species
UUAAAGGUAAUGACUGGAAAUAUUAGAAAUCUAAAAGCUUACAGAGAGCCGGCAUUUGGUGCGAGCCGGCAGUCUUGAUGAUUUUGAACUCAUCCACGAACUGCUGCCCGACAAGUAGGGUAAGCCGGAAUUCCACCGUUACAGGGAUAGAUGGUAAUAGCCGUCGAAAGAGCGAAUUCUUAAGAAUUAAUUAGAGUGGUACCGCGAGUCAGCCUCGUCUCUAUA